UACAGCCAUAUCACGUUAAAAACCUGUUCUCGUACGAUCACCGAAGUUAAGCAACGUUGAUCCUGGUCAGUGCCUAGCUGGGUAACAGCUUGGGAAUACCAGAUGCUGUAA